UACAGAGGUGGCAAGCGUUGUCCGGAUUUACUGGGCGUAAAGGGAGCGUAGGUGGAUAUUUAAGUGGGAUGUGAAAUACCUGAGCUUAACUUGGGUGCUGCAUUCCAAACUGGAUAUCUAGAGUGCAGGAGAGGAAAGUGGAAUUCCUAGUGUAGCGGUGAAAUGCGUAGAGAUUAGGAAGAACACCAGUGGCGAAGGCGACUUUCUGGACUGUAACUGACACUGAGGCUCGAAAGCGUGGGGAGCAAACAGG
rnacentral:rRNA from 1 species